rnacentral:rRNA from 1 species
UACAGAGGGUGCAAGCGUUAAUCGGAAUUACUGGGCGUAAAGCGUGCGUAGACGGUCAUGUAAGUCGGGUGUGAAAGCCCCGGGCUCAACCUGGGAAUUGCAUUCGAGACUGCAUGGCUAGGAUGCGGAAGAGGGAAGCGGAAUUUCCGGUGUAGCGGUGAAAUGCGUAGAUAUCGGAAGGAACACCAGUGGCGAAAGCGGCUUCCUGGUCCAGCAUCGACGUUCAGGCAUGAAAGCGUGGGGAGCAAACAGG